GGUUGCUGCUGGCUGACCCUAGCAGACGGCUGUGUCUGAGUCUGAGUGUCCUGCUGCACAACUGCACUGCACAUUGCACAUACCGACCGACAUGGCCCUCUAAAAUCGUCUUAGCUUCUGUGCCUGUGUUAGAUAAGAUCAUCGUACCUGGAUGUAAAAGGGUUCAUGUUUUGUUUGUUUCCAAAGAUUAGUGACCUGGGUCUAGAUAUUCACAAUGGCCUUAACAGUGGCCAGUUGUACUACUCUCCUGAGGACCAUAUCUAAAAGGGCAAGCACAUCACUUGGUGUUGCUAUCGGGAAACACCGUCAAGACGAUGUAGAUGUCUCCAUGACAGAGCGGCUGCAGACAUGUAAAAGAUUCAAUUCAUCCAUUAGCUGUUAUGGUGAAAAAAGUGCCAUUAAUGACCUUUCACUGGAAACUGUUCAUAACACUUUGAUGAAAAGGAGCAGGACAUCUUCUUUGCCAAAGUCAGACUCAUGGCAGUAUGCUCCAGUUUUUCAGUAUCCUAGUCCAAAACUCUCAUUGAGUAGCCAACACAACAUUCCACUUUGUUUGCAUCAACAUCCAGGCAGCCUAACUUUUUCUACAUUCUCCUCAAUGUGGACUAAUCCCAGUUCAAAUACCUCGAAAGCAUCUCACAGCACGCUCAGUAAAUCUCAUGCAGCCUUACUUCAUGUUUGUGAUUGUCAUCAAAAGUCACACAACAGCAUGAGUAGCUUCUCCCCAGCAAGACUUAUUCUAGAAUCGUCCCCAGGAAGUGUUCAACCUUAUCUCCGCCUGAUUAGAUUUGACAAACCAAUUGGUACAUGGCUGCUGUAUUGGCCUUGUACCUGGAGCAUUGCCUUGGCUGCCCAGCCUGGCUGUAUGCCGGACCCUAAGCUCCUUGCCCUCUUUGGUGCUGGAGCCUUCUUCAUGCGGGGUGCAGGCUGCAUCAUCAAUGACAUGUGGGACAAGGACUUUGAUGCCAAGGUUGAGAGAACCAAGCUUCGGCCUCUUGCUGCUGGAGAACUGACCAGCUUCCAGGCCUUGGUAUUUCUAGGCACCCAGCUGAGCUGUGCCCUCGCCAUAUUGUUGCAACUCAACUGGUACAGUGUUUUACUUGGGGCAUCUUCCUUAGGCUUGGUGAUUUUGUAUCCACUUGCCAAGAGGUACACGUACUGGCCACAGCUGAUGUUGGGGCUAACAUUAAACUGGGGUGUUCUGCUGGGUUGGAGUGAGAUGAGGGGCUCAGUGGAGCUGGCAGCCCUGAGUCUGUACGCGGCCUGCACAGUUUUUACCAUCAUUUACGAUACCAUUUACUCUCAUCAGGGUUCACAUUCAACUAUGGGGCUCUGCUGGGUUGGUCGGCUGUUCAGGGAUCCAACGAUUGGUCCGUCUGCCUGCCCCUGUAUUUCUCUUGCGUUUUGUGGACUUUGGUAUAUGACACCAUUUAUGCCCAUCAGGACAAAUACGAUGACAUGCUGAUUGGUGUGAAGUCAACAGCACUCAAGCUUGGAGACAACACAAAGCCUUGGCUGUAUGGUUUUACUGCCCUUAUGUCGGGAGGGUUAACCACAGCUGGUUUAAUGAAUGAUAUGACUUGGCCUUACUACGCUGCCGUUGCCAUCACAUGUGGAAGGCUGGCUCAGCAGACAUACUCGGUUGAUCUGAAUAGUGCUGAUGACUGCGCCAAAACUUUUCGGGGUAACUUCUACCUAGGGGUUGUGAUGUUUGUCGGCAUUAUCAUGGCCAACAUUCAGAAGUCUAAGCGACAAAGGGCUGACGAUGACGGAUUUGAAGUGGACGCUUGAUGAGAACAGAAUGUGAUGCUAUAGAACAAAAUCAAAUCAAAGACUCCCAUGUGCUCCAGCUGUGUGAUGCCAAGCUCAGGCAAAAUUAUUGUGAACUGACGUAACAUCCGAGUGGCGACAGGUUCUGCACUUAAUGCAACCACAUCAGAACAUAUAGGUUUUCCUAAAGGUCACUUAUCAUGAGCAUUACCCACCUUGUGAUGAUGUUUUCUUAUGGUCUGCUUGUUCUGUUUCUUUUAUUGUCCCUGCAGCAAAGUGACAUAACAAUAGUUUCACUUCCAAAGAAUUCAAUUCCAAUGAAGCUAAUAGGGAAACCAAAAACCUUGUCUAAUUCUUUCUUGGUUUUAAAAAAAAAAUAACGUUUGUAUUAUUUGGGUUUUUUCUUUUCCACAUAAAGUAGGCACCCCAAAGAAAAAUUUCAAAUUGUCUGAAAAUUGUUUUUAUUUACUGUAUCAGAUAGAGCUGUAGAAAUGAUGCAAUUCACAGUUCAAAUAAUUAAAAUCAGACAUUAAAUUCAAAAGUUAUCAAGAUUCAUAUUCAUUCAAAAAGUAGAAAAUUUCAUGCAGCAUACAAAAAAAAAAAAGGAAAAAGGCAGGGCUUUGAACUGUCACACAAUCAUGUCAUGACAGUGUACAUACUCAUUUAUUACUUCUUCUUGAAGUCAAGAACAAUAUAGAGGCACACAAAGACUUGAGAAAUCGUGGGACUUUGAAUAAUUUCAAUCCUAUUAACAUUGUAUGAAAAUGGCUUUUUACUGAUUUUCAGUGAACAAUUUUUGCGUACAACACACAUAAAACCAAUUUCAGAGGCCUGUUACGUGAAAAUUUAUUAUCCCAUAAAGUAGGUACCACAAUUGAAAAUUUUCAUUUGCUCAAAGCUCAAGGGAAAGACUUUUAUCCUGUAGAGCUUGUGAAACCAUGAACAACACCCAAAAAAAAAAAAAUCAAUUGAGAAAUAAAAAAGUUAUGAGUAGUUGAACAAAGAGAGGGGGGGGUGAAAACUGGAGCUUCCGAACUACGCUAAAGCCAGCAAAGGCGGCCCGACUCGGCCGUGACUGUCUAUUGAUGGAGGACUGUGGCAUAAUAACGAACCGACAAACAAUAUACCAACAAGAAGAGAAAAACUAAAACAAGUUUUGCUGGUGUCAAACCUGUUUAUUUUGUAUCAAUUGGAAAGUUAUGAGCCGAUAUAUGGAGGAUGAAAAACAGCGCGAGCGUAGACUUGUGGUACCUACAUAAAGUCAAACUUCGUGAUGUUGUUGACAGGCCUAAAUAUGUUUGCAAGAAUGGGACAAGUAAUGUCUUACCCAGUACCCGUUGGGAGAUCAGUUCUCUAACACAAAUGGAUCGCCCGACUUGCGGCCUUGAAAACAAACGCAUUUGAUUUUUAAGGUCACCAUUGUCAGGUCAGCCAGCUUGUGCGCAAAAAAGAAGGGGGGGGGGGGGUGUCUGCUUCAAAACUAAAUGUUUCGCUUAACCAGGAAAGCAGUUUCCCUAUACAGUAUAACACGGAUAGCUCGAAUUCGCUGGGACCGCCUUGGUAGUUCGAGGGAUCCUUAGUUGGAGGGAUAUGUGAACAGUGUUAUGGCAUCGGCUGUGUCAGAGAAUCAAGGGAAGCAACAAAGAUUGGGUUGGAAUAGAUUUUCUUCUUUCGGCCAUUGUCCUAGAUCAGCCUAUUGACUUGAAUUUGAAAAUUGAGAGAAUUUGAAAUUGACAGGUUGAAAAUGAGUAACACGAUGAGCAACACUUUCGAGUUCGACCGGUAAUGAGCUUCACAUUGGAAUAUUUCCAUUGACCAGGAAAAUAGGCUACAGAUUUCUUCAUUAUAUUUAGGUCUAUGUACACCAGUAUUGGGUAAAGAACGGCCUUUCAGUUGAGCCUUUUAAAAAAAUGUUUCGUUUUAGAAAAUAGCAGCUCAAUGUCUGGUAAUUCCAUUUUUUACUUUGUUUUUCUUACAGCUUCUUUUGUAUUUUAUCAUUUUGCCUGCUAUUUAAAGAGAGUGCCCCCCAUCUUUUUAAAUUAAAAAAUAAUAAAAUUAGGUCAUUUCCGUUUCUCCUAGUCAAAGGGUUUUCGUUUGAAUAACCCUACCAGGUACCCUCCUAAAACCAUGACCAAACACACCUAGCGUGACGAUCCACCCGUGGAUUCAGUUGUCGUUUUCCCACUAAUAAUUAUAGUGCUUCUACAACACAAUCAAUUUUUUUUAUGGCAGUAGUUUUAAAUAUCGGUUUGUUUCAAAGAGGAAUUAGUAAAGCUUUUUAUUUAACAAUCGCAUUGGACUAAGAAAUGUUUUCUGGGAAUCCUGAGGCUUGACUACCGUAUUUGUUUUCACCAAUCUACCUGAUUCUUUCAUGUAGCGACUACACCAUUGUUCUUGUACAUGAUUAAGUUCCUCUUCACAUGUAUUUGUUUUAUGAAGUCUAAACAGACGCCUGAUUUGGUGCCUUUUUUUAAUAAACAAAAUGUUUCUCACUUCAA